rnacentral:rRNA from 1 species
AGGAUUAGAUACCCUGGUAGUCCACGCCGUAAACGAUGUCGACUUGGAGGUUGUGCCCUUGAGGCGUGGCUUCCGGAGCUAACGCGUUAAGUCGACCGCCUGGGGAGUACGGCCGCAAGGUUAAAACUCAAAUGAAUUGACGGGGGCCCGCACAAGCGGUGGAGCAUGUGGUUUAAUUCGAUGCAACGCGAAGAACCUUACCUGGUCUUGACAUCCACAGAACUUCCAGAGAUGGA